UACAGAGGGUGCAAGCGUUGUUCGGAAUUACUGGGCGUAAAGCGUGCGUAGUCGGUAUUGAGAGUCGCGGGUGAAAGCCCAGGGCUUAACCCUGGAACUGCCUGCGAGACCUCAGUACUAGAGUGUGAGAGGGGAUAGUGGAAUACCCAGUGUAGCGGUGAAAUGCGUAGAGAUUGGGUGGAACACCGGUGGCGAAGGCGGCUAUCUGGCUCACAACUGACGAUCAGGCACGAAAGCGUGGGGAGCAAACAGG
rnacentral:rRNA from 1 species